CGCCAUCACGGACGGUGACAAUCCGGUUCUUGCCUGGGGUCCCGCGGCGUACGAGCCGUUUCCGACGAGUCGUGUUGCUUGGGAUUGCAGCACUAAGUGGGUGGUAAAUUCCAUCUAAAGCUAAAUAUUGGUGGGAGACCGAUAGCGAACAAGUACCGUGAGGGAAAGAUGAAAAGACUUUUGAAAAGAGAGUAAAAUAGUACCUGAAACUGCUGAAAGGGAAGCGAUUGAAGUCAGUGUUGCUCCUGGUCUUUUUGCCGUCGCCCCCGUGGGGGUUGCGGCGUGGGGCCUGGAGCGUUUCAACAUGCGUUCUGUUCCGCGGGAAAUGUUCAGUGUGCUGGAACCUUCGGGGAAACGCACUGUUCUUGUCGUGGUUAGGACGGAGGACCUUUGCUCCUUUGACUGCGCGUUCCUCUCUCGGGUAUGCUGGUGUCUACUGCUUGCAGUUUUCAUUUUCAUGCUUGCGACUGUGCGUGUUAUUCAUGAGCGAACAUGAUGUUGAAGAAAUGGCUUUAAUUACCCCGUCUUGAAACACGGACCAAGGAGUCUAACAUCUGUGCGAGUGUUUGGGUGUAAAACCCAUGCGCGUAAUGAAAGUGAACGGAGGUGGGAAGCGCAAGCUGCACCAUCGACCGAUCCUGAUGUCUUCGGAUGGAUUUGAGUAAGAGCAUAGCUGUUGGGACCCGAAAGAUGGUGAACUAUGCCUGAAUAGGGUGAAGCCAGAGGAAACUCUGGUGGAGGCUCGCAGCGAUUCUGACGUGCAAAUCGAUCGUCAAAUUUGGGUAUAGGGGCGAAAGACUAAUCGAACCAUCUAGUAGCUGGUUCCCUCCGAAAUUUCCCUUAGGAUAGCUGCAACCGGUUAAGAGUUUUAUCAGGUAAAGCGAAUGAUUAGAGGAUUCGGGGACGGAAUGUCCUCGACCUAUUCUCAAACUUUAAAUGGGUAAGAACCCGGGGUUGCUUAAUUGAACCCUGCGGUCGAAUCUCGGUUGCUAGUGGGCCAGUCCGGGUAAGCUGGACUGGCGAUGCGGGAUGAUCCGAACGCUGAGUUAAAGUGCCUAACUGCUCGCUCACCUAGAUCCCACAAAAGGUGUUGGUUCAUCCAGACAGCAGGACGGUGGCCAUGGAAGUCGGAAUCCGCUAAGGAGUGUGUAACAACUCACCUGCCGAAUGAACUAGCCCUGAAAAUGGAUGGCGCUCAAGCGUGCUACCCAUACCUCGCCGCCGGGGUAGAAACGAUGCCCCGGCGAGUAGGCUGGCGUGGAGGCCCGUGACGAAGCCUAGGGAGUGAUCCCGGGUAGAACGGCCUCUAGUGCAGAUCUUGGUGGUAGUAGCAAAUACUCAAAUGAGAACUUUGAGGACUGAAGUGGGGAAAGGUUCCAUGUGAACAGCAGUUGGACAUGGGUUAGUCGAUCCUAAGGGGCAGGGAAACUCCGUUUUAACGUGCGCACUUGUGCGCCGCUCCCCGAAAGGGAAACCGGUUAACAUUCCGGUACCUGGAUGUGGAUUCUCCACGGCAACGUAACUGAAGGCGGAGACGUCGGCGGGGGCCCUGGGAAGAGUUCUCUUUUCUUCUUAACGGUCCAUCACCCUGAAAUCGGUUUGUCCGGAGCUAGGGUUUAACGGCCGGUAGAGCCCCGCACCUUUGCGGGGUCCGGUGCGCUCCCGACGACCCUUGAAAAUCCGCCGGAAGGAAUAGUUUUCACGCCAGGUCGUACUCAUAACCGCAGCAGGUCUCCAAGGUGAAAAGCCUCUAGUUGAUAGAACAAUGUAGGUAAGGGAAGUCGGCAAAAUAGAUCCGUAACCUCGGGAAAAGGAUUGGCUCU
rnacentral:rRNA from 1 species